rnacentral:tRNA from 1 species
GCCUGGGUGGCUCAGCUGUUUGAGCAUCUGACUGGAGCUCAGGUCACAGUCUUGUGGUUCGUGAGUUCCAGCCCCACAUCAGGCU